CCUACGGGAGGCAGCAGUGGGGAAUUUUGGACAAUGGGCGAAAGCCUGAUCCAGCCAUGCCGCGUGCAGGAUGAAGGCCCUCGGGUUGUAAACUGCUUUUGUACGGAACGAAAAGACUCUGGUUAAUACCUGGGGUCCAUGACGGUACCGUAAGAAUAAGCACCGGCUAACUCUGUGCCAGCAGCCGCGGUAAU
rnacentral:rRNA from 1 species